rnacentral:tRNA from 1 species
AUAAAAUUAGUUAAAUAUAUAACUUAAGCUUGUCAUGCUUAGAUUAUUCUUAUGAAUAUUUUUUA